rnacentral:rRNA from 1 species
AUUGGACGCUGGCGACAUGCCUUACACAUGCAAGUCGAACGGCAGCACGGGUGCUUGCACCUGGUGGCGAGUGGCGAACGGGUGAGUAAUACAUCGGAACAUGUCCUGUAGUGGGGGAUAGCCCGGCGAAAGCCGGAUUAAUACCGCAUACGAUCUACGGAUGAAAGCGGGGGACCUUCGGGCCUCGCGCUAUAGGGUUGGCCGAUGGCUGAUUAGCUAGUUGGUGGGGUAAAGGCCUACCAAGGCGACGAUCAGUAGCUGGUCUGAGAGGACGACCAGCCACACUGGGACUGAGACACGGCCCAGACUCCUACGGGAGGCAGCAGUGGGGAAUUUUGGACAAUGGGCGAAAGCCUGAUCCAGCAAUGCCGCGUGUGUGAAGAAGGCCUUCGGGUUGUAAAGCACUUUUGUCCGGAAAGAAAUCCUUGGCCCUAAUACGGUCGGGGGAUGACGGUACCGGAAGAAUAAGCACCGGCUAACUACGUG